rnacentral:rRNA from 1 species
UACGUAGGUGGCAAGCGUUGUCCGGAUUUACUGGGCGUAAAGAGCGCGCAGGCGGCUGGGCAAGUCCGAUGUGAAAGCUUCCGGCUUAACUGGAAAAUUGCAUCGGAAACUGCUCGGCUUGAAGGUGGGAGAGGGUAGCGGAAUUCCCGGUGUAGUGGUGAAAUGCGUAGAUAUCGGGAGGAGCACCAGUGGCGAAGGCGGCUACCUGGCCCGCUCUUGACGCUGAGGCGCGAAAGCUAGGGGAGCAAACGGG